rnacentral:lncRNA from 1 species
CCCCGCCGCAAGUGGAUAAUAUUAAUUGUGUAAAAAUAUGCAAGUGUUCGGUAAACAGGAAGUUGUCGAGUGAUGAAUCUGAAAACGCAUCACACGGUAUAGCUGACUUAUAUUAACCCUUAAACCAAAUUUCAGAAAUCCUUGUAUUGUAGUUCCUGAGAAAAAUGUGACGAAAAAUUUUCAACUUGGCUAUCAUGUGUAAAAUCAAACAAGUGUUCGGUAAAAGGAAGUUGUUGAGUGAUGAAUCUGAAAACGCAUCACACGGUAUAGCUGACUUAUAUCAAGCCUGAAACCAAAUUUCAGAAAUCCUGGUAGUGUAGUUCCAGAGAAAAAUGUGACGAAAAAUAUUCAUGGGACGGACGGACUGACUGACAGACUGACGGACUGACGGACUGACGGACUGAUGGACUGACGGACUGAAGGAAG